UACGUAGGGGGCAAGCGUUGUCCGGAUUUAUUGGGCGUAAAGCGCGUGUAGGCGGCUUGGUAGGUCCGCUGUGAAAACUCCUGGCUCAACUGGGAGCUUGCAGGCGAAACUGCCGUGCUGGAGUGUGGGAGAGGUGCGUGGAAUUCCUGGUGUAGCGGUGAAAUGCGUAGAUAUCAGGAGGAACACCUGUGGCGAAAGCGGCGCACUGGACCACAACUGACGCUGAGGCGCGAAAGCUAGGGGAGCAAACAGG
rnacentral:rRNA from 1 species